UGAUGUGGCUUCCUAUGACCCAAUGAUAUAGAUCUUCCCAGACUCCCAUGAAAGGUUUCCCAAGCUUUCCAAACGCUUGCCGUCCAUCGUGGUUGAGCCCACUGAGAGCGGGGAGGUAGAGAGCGGGGAACUCCGCUGGCCUCCUGAUGAUCUGAGCCCUACAGAUGACCCCAGAGACAAACAGGCACAGGCUGCAAGUGACAAGCUCACAGAAGACAGCAAAGACGUCGGACCGGGGACGGAAAUCUAAGAGGCAAUGGUUGGCACUACUCCAGCCAAUCACUGUGAAUGUCUUCAUUACGGACAGGAGUGAGUGGGAGACUCCACCAGUUAGGUCUGCCUUUCAUCCACACUAGAGCCGCUCACCUGUUGACCUCCACUCCCCUAGGUGGAGCCGAGGCCUGAGAGACUUCUUAACUGAACUAGCUCAUGUGCCAAACUCUAGUGGUAGUCAGCUGCAGUGAUUGAGUUUUAAAUGAUCUCCAAUAACAACACCAUGAUACCUGUUAGAAGUCACCUACCCCCUAUCCCUGCUAAAUUAUAGAUUAGCAUAUAUUUAUUUAUUUGAUUUGGACCAAAGUCUUUCAUUCCUUCCUAUACAAAGGAUCUUUAUUUGAUGUUUAUCAGCAUACUUUAAGUGAAAAUGGAUUUCAAAUGUGAAUUAACUAUUCCAUAAUGGCUACUUUGCCUACUCAAUGUGCAGUAGAUCUCUGUGUGUUUACACAUACAAACAAUAUAGUAUGGUUUCCUUUUUAACACACUUUCCAGAUAUACACGUUUGCACAUAUUCUUUGCCAUUCUCUGCUGCUUAUUUACAAGUGUUCGUCAGAGCUGCUGUAAAUGUAGCUUUCUUUGCCUUAGACAUUAUAAUUUUAAUGUCAAAUCAAUUCUGUUUGUAUGUAUAUAUUUGUACCCUCAUUAUUUUCCUCAUUAUAUGUAUGUGUUACUUUCCUUAGGCGAAACUCUUUGGUGCUUCAGAGUCUGUUAAUCACUGUAUUCUAUUAAAAAUCUACUGCUAU